ensembl:lncRNA
CAGAAUUGCAACAACACUCGUGAUUUUCAACUGUAUUUGCUAGAAGACUGUAUGGGCCAAAGACAUGACCUCAGGAUAAACACUUAAAAUCAACAGAGCCAAGAAGAUUAAAACUUCAUCACCCAGGAAUACACCAGGUCAAGUUCAAGCUCUUGGUUGCACCAUGUGGUAUCUAGUUCCCUGACCAGGGAUCAAAGCUGGGCCCCUUCAUUGGAAGCACAGAAUCUUAGCACUGGACCACCAGUAAAAUCCUUGGAACAUAGGAAUUUAUAUGGAGCCUUACAGAACUGGAACCUUUAAAACCAGUUCUUCAGGAGCUUGGAAGAGUGCCCCCAAGGAGCUGGAACUAAG